UUAGCGCCCAAAUCAAACAUCAGCGUUGAACAGAAGGCAGUCAGACACUCUGGCCAGCGGAGGCCAGAGAUCACCGCCGCUGGUCACAGCGCCCUAACUCUAGUGGUCAAACAUCUGGCCAGUCUCUAGUGGUUAAACAUCUGGCCAGUCUCUAGGGGUUGAACAUCUGGCCAGUCUCUAGGGUCUCUACAUCUGGCCAGUCUCUAGUGGUUAAACAUCUGGGUUGAACAUCUGGCCAGUCUCUAGGGGUUAAACAUCUGGCCAGUCUCUAUGGUUUAAACAUCUGGCCAGUCUCUAGUGGUCAAACAUCUGGCCAGUCUCUAGGGGUUGAACAUCUGGCCAGUCUCUAGUGGUUAAACAUCUGGCCAGUCUGUAGGGGUUAAACAUCUGGCCAGUCUGUAGGGGUUAAACAUCUGGCCAGUCUGUAGGGGUUAAACAUCUGGCCAGUCUGUAGGGGUUAAACAUCUGGCCAGUCUGUAGGGGUUAAACAUCUUGGUGCAGAAAAGUCCAACGCUGCCAGACCCUAAAGGCCUGUGGCCCUGGAGGGGCCCCCUGGAGACCUGGAGACCCCCCCCUCCCCCCGAGACCGGAGGGGCCCUCUCUGGGAGGACCUUGUGUGUCCCUCCAUAGAAACAAUCCAGUGUUCAUGAAGACGACCGAAGUCCCUCUGCUGUAGGGGCCCCAUCAGACCAGGGGUCCCUCUGCUGUAGGGGCCCUCCAUCAGACCAGGGGUCCCUCUGCUGUAGGGGCCCCAUCAGACCAGGGGUCCCUCUGCUGUAGGGGCUCCAUCAGACCAGGGGUCCCUCUGCUGUAGGGGCCCCAUCAGACCAGGGGUCCCUCUGCUGUAGGGGCUCCAUCAGACCAGGGGUCCCUCUGCUGUAGGGGCCCCAUCAGACCAGGGGUCCCUCUGCUGUAGGGGCCCCAUCAGACCAGGGGUCCCUCUGCUGUAGGGGCCCCAUCAGACCAGGGGUCCCUCUGCUGUAG
ensembl:lncRNA